UACGGAGGGUGCAAGCAUUAAUCGGAUUUAUUGGGCGUAAAGGGCGCGUAGGCGGACUAUCAAGUCAGAUGUGAAAUACCAAAGCUCAACUUUGGUGCUGCAUUUGAAACUGGUAGACUUGAGGGUUGACGGAGAAAAUGGAAUUCCACGUGUAGCGGUGAAAUGCGUAGAUAUGUGGAAGAACACCUGUGGCGAAAGCGAUUUUCUAGUUAAUACCUGACGCUGAGGCGCGAGAGCAAGGGGAGCAAACAGG
rnacentral:rRNA from 1 species